GUCCGUUGCACGCCCCUAAGCUCAUCUACAGCCUUUUGUCCCUCCCCACGCCCCCAACCUCCUCUCUCAAGCCAAAAACAAAGCAGCAAACCAAAAAUUCUUACAUGCCCUCUCUGUGGUAAAGGGUAUACGGCAAUGUUAGUUACAGAGGGGAGCAUGAUCCGAGGGCCAAGAACUCCUGCGGGAAUCGCAGUGGAGCUGAUGCGGGGACGAUUCUGUUCUCCUAUGUUCUGAUCUUGUCACGAAGGCUGAAGGGAUUCGCUCGGUCGAAAAUCCAGGAAGUUUGAGAGGAGAAAUUGUUGAUUUUCAAAUGGGUUUUGGAGCUUAAAUCUCAAAUUGGUCUCGGAGGCUUGCAGCCAUUAAUGGCUUCUUCCUUCUUCUGUACUUGAAUUUCAGUUUCUUUUAUCUCACCCUUGGCCCAUGCUGAAAUGAAUUAAGGGGUUGGGAUAUUUGUUCUGCCGAAAAAAAAAAGGAGCUUCCAUUGAAGACAUUUCAAUGGUGUCUCCUAAAGUGCUUCACCUGAGAGUUUCAGUGUUUUCUCUCGUUGGGUUUUCAUUGUUGAAUCUAAGAGUUCGAGUUUUGAGCUUCGAGCAAGAAUGGAGGAAAAUAUCAAUGCAGAAAUUAACUGAAGAAUUAAUUGAUUAAAUUUGUGGAUGGUGGGGAUGUGUUUGGGAGUUGUUGGAGAUGUGCAAAAUAAAGGGCAGAUAGGCUUUAGAGGAGGGAAUUACACAGUAGAGACGCGGUAAGAAGGAGAGACCAAGGGGCUACACGUAGAGGAGGCUAAACAGAAGAGAGGGGGCCAUGGCUGAAGGAGUUGAUAAAGCUAGGCACGUAGUCAGUUCAAUGCAUAGGAGGGAAAAGCACCAGAUCAUUUAAUCAUAGUGUUGAGAUGGUAAGAUAACUAAAGGCUAUAUAUAAAGAAUGAAAAUAAGUGAAGGGAAAUCAUAGGGGAUGUACUCAUGAUGUUUUGGAAUUAGGAAAACAAGAGGGAAAAUAAGCAGGAGUGUUGGGGGAAACGAGAGAAUUUUGGGGAGAAUAUAGAAAGUAGGGACCUUUGCAGUUUGGUUCCCAGGAAACUUGCGGAAGUCUGAGAAACUGAAGGAAGUUGUGUUUUUUUUUGGGGGAGGGUGCUAAAGAAGGCACCUUAUGCUUUUGUUUUGGCCUCCAACAAGAAAAGUAAAAGAAAAUAAAAAGAGCACACUUGGAGGAUUUCCACUAGUGGUGGACAAACUUCCAGGGCGGUUCGCUCCUCCAUGCGCUGCUGUAUCCCCCGCCCCUCUGCAUUACUGUAUUAAGAAGAGAAAAGAAUCCUCUUCUCCUAAUCCCCACUUGCCCCUUUAUACAAGCAAUUGGGUCAGGUUGACCUGGUUUCCACAAGCAGUGGAUGACUGCCAACAUCAUGCACAGUGGCCCCUCAGAAGUGCUGUGCGACCCCCCUCCCUGCCCUUUUGCGCUGCAGUGUUAAGAGAAAAGAAUCCCCUCCUGGCUCCUCCUCAGUCCUAGUUUGUCUCUUUAUACCAGCAGUUGGGUCAAGUUAACCCAAUUUGACACUUACCCGAUUGUAUUUUUCUUAUUUUUUAUUUUUUAUUUUUAAUUCCUUUGUAGAUUUUACCCUUUAGAAAAUCUUAAAAAAAGCUCAAAAUUUGGUUGUUUGUUUAGGGUUUUGUUUUGUUUUGUUUUUUUCCCUUUAAUUAUGUAUCUUGUUUUCAUUUGUCGUAGUUUUGAUUGAAUCUUUACAACUUAAAAGAAAAAAGAAUUUAUUGUGAAAAUGUUAAAAUUCUAAUAAAAAGGAUCAUUGAAGGGUUAUGUUUCUGUUA